UAAGGAAUAUUGGACAAUGGAGGCAACUCUGAUCCAGCCAUGCCGCGUGAAGGAAUAAGGCCCUGUGGGUUGUAAACUUCUUUUAGACGGGACAAAACCCCUUUACGUGUAAAGGGUUGAUGGUACUGUCAGAAUAAGCAUCGGCUAACUUCGUGCCAGCAGCCGCGGUAAUACGAAGGAUGCAAGCGUUAUCCGGAAUUAUUGGGUUUAAAGGGUGCGUAGGCGGACUAAUAAGUCAGUGGUGAAAGCCUGCAGCUUAACUGCAGAAUUGCCAUUGAUACUGUUAGUCUUGAGUACAGUUGAGGUAGGCGGAAUGUGUCAUGUAGCGGUGAAAUGCUUAGAUAUGACACAGAACACCGAUUGCGAAGGCAGCUUGCUAAGCUGUAACUGACGCUGAGGCACGAAAGCGUGGGGAGCAAACA
rnacentral:rRNA from 1 species